rnacentral:rRNA from 1 species
UACGGAGGGUGCAAGCGUUAUCCGGAUUCACUGGGUUUAAAGGGUGCGUAGGUGGGCUGGUAAGUCAGUGGUGAAAUCUCCGAGCUUAACUUGGAACUGCCGUUGAUACUAUCUGCCUUGAAUAUUGUGGAGGUGAGCGGAAUAUGUCAUGUAGCGGUGAAAUGCUUAGAUAUGACAUAGAACACCAAUUGCGAAGGCAGCUCGCUACACAUAUAUUGACUCUGAGGCACGAAAGCGUGGGGAUCAAACAGG